GUGAGCAUUGUGGAGCAGAGAGAGGUGGUUUUCCAUGGAGGACUGGAUGUAUGACCAGUCUGAUUUCUGCAGCUAAGAGGAGACAGUGCUAUGAAUCAGCCCCUGCUCAUAUACAGUGAAUACAUGUGGCAGCCACUUCCCUUUGGUCCUCACUGUGGCUCAUUGUUCCUCAGGUGUGUGUGGGUGCAGCUGUGCUCAUAGUGGUGUAGGUGUGAUAUCUCUUCUUCUGUGGUUGGUAUUGACACUGGCAGUGAGGCUGGAGGGUUGGCAGUGUUGCUUGCUCUGUCAGUCAGAAUGAAAUAGCUAAACUGAUGGAUUUCCAUCAAAGUUUGUUCUUUCAUAGACCUAAAAUACAGUG